rnacentral:rRNA from 1 species
UACGAAGGGGGCUAGCGUUGCUCGGAAUCACUGGGCGUAAAGCGCACGUAGGCGGACUCUUAAGUCGGUGGUGAAAUCCUGGAGCUCAACUCCAGAACUGCCUUCGAUACUGGCGAUCUUGAGUCCGGAAGAGGUGAGUGGAACUCCUAGUGUAGAGGUGGAAUUCGUAGAUAUUAGGAAGAACACCAGUGGCGAAGGCGGCUCACUGGUCCGGUACUGACGCUGAGGUGCGAAAGCGUGGGGAGCAAACAGG